AGCCUCUUCUUUCCAGCUCAAGGGUCAAGACAGUGUCCCCAGGAAGAAGCAAAGGCUGUGUUUUCCACACUCUUAUCUAGAGGUGAGCUGGCAGAAGCUCCUCCCAGACUGCAUCUAUCAGACAGGGAGACAAUAACUGCUUGGGUGAGGAACAAAGGGAGGAGACACCAACUGUCCCCACUAAUGACAGAAGAUGUGGCAGCCUGAAGCCCUAAUAUUGGCUGUGGCCCUUUAAGAUCCCUCCCCACUUAACUGUAACACCCCCCUUCUCCAGGAAACUGGCAAGGACCCUUGGCACUGUUGGCCAGCGCUCUUGGAGACAGCCAGGACGGGGUUGGCAGGACUGCCUACACUGCUUUGAAAAUAUUUAACAAUAGAUACAGGGUCUCGCCAUGAGCCACAGCACCUGGCCACUUCUCAUUUUUAAUACUGUAGACCCAGAGGAAAGCACUGGGAGGAAUGAGAAAGUAGCGACUAGACAAAAAUGAAAACUCUUUAAGAAGCAUUGCUGAAGUUACAGGGGAAAAAGAUUAAGACAACUGAGGUUAAGGGCCUGACUCCAGAUCACACAGCAAGGGAGAUGGCAAAAUCAAGAUUUCAACCCAGGAAACCUGCCUCCCAUGCCUAUGUUAAUCACUACACCCUUCCCACAAUAAAUAAUCAAAUAAGCUA
rnacentral:lncRNA from 1 species